AACGCUAGCUACAGGCUUAACACAUGCAAGUCGAGGGGAAACGAUAUUGGAAGCUUGCUUCCGAUAGGCGUCGACCGGCGCACGGGUGAGUAACGCGUAUCCAACCUGCCCACCACUUGGGGAUAACCUUGCGAAAGUAAGACUAAUACCCAAUGAUAUCUCUAGAAGGCAUCUGAAGGAGAUUAAAGAUUUAUCGGUGAUGGAUGGGGAUGCGUCUGAUUAGCUUGUUGGCGGGGUAACGGCCCACCAAGGCGACGAUCAGUAGGGGUUCUGAGAGGAAGGUCCCCCACAUUGGAACUGAGACACGGUCCAAACUCCUACGGGAGGCAGCAGUGAGGAAUAUUGGUCAAUGGACGAGAGUCUGAACCAGCCAAGUAGCGUGCAGGAUGACGGCCCUAUGGGUUGUAAACUGCUUUUAUAAGGGAAUAAAGUGAGUCUCGUGAGACUUUUUGCAUGUACCUUAUGAAUAAGGACCGGCUAAUUCCGUGCCAGCAGCCGCGGUAAUACGGAAGGUCCGGGCGUUAUCCGGAUUUAUUGGGUUUAAAGGGAGCGUAGGCCGGAGAUUAAGCGUGUUGUGAAAUGUAGACGCUCAACGUCUGCACUGCAGCGCGAACUGGUUUCCUUGAGUACGCACAAAGUGGGCGGAAUUCGUGGUGUAGCGGUGAAAUGCUUAGAUAUCACGAAGAACUCCGAUUG
rnacentral:rRNA from 1 species